rnacentral:rRNA from 1 species
UACGGGGGGAGCAAGCGUUGUUCGGAUUUACUGGGCGUAAAGGGCGCGUAGGCGGCCAGCACAAGUCAGUUGUGAAAUCUCCGAGCUUAACUCGGAAAGGUCAACUGAUACUGUGCGGCUAGAGUGCAGAAGGGGCAACUGGAAUUCUUGGUGUAGCGGUGAAAUGCGUAGAUAUCAAGAGGAACACCUGCGGCGAAGGCGGGUUGCUGGGCUGACACUGACGCUGAAGCGCGAAAGCCAGGGGGAGACGGAACGG